rnacentral:rRNA from 1 species
AUGGGUGGAAUGUCUUUCGAUGUGCCUCCUCGCACACAUUCCCAUGAAGAUGCCGUUGAAGAUCUUGCCAACACCGUCGGAACUUCAUGUGAUGCGGUGCGCGAUGAGGAGAGGGAGGAAGAUUCAUCUUCGGAGGCGGAAGAAUCGUCUUCCGAAGAUGAGGACGAGGACGAAGACGAGGACGAGGAAUGA